GGGGACGUUCCACUGCACAAGGACAGCGAGGGUGCUAGUUGGGGAACGCAUAGCCACCGAUCCCAGGCGCCGGGCCAAGUCGCCCGCUGAACGUCUUCUACUGGAGGCGAAUUCGGGCGCAGCGACGGGGGGCAGGGGCAACUAAGUUAUCCGGUUAAGAAACGUGCACUCGCACUGGACUCUGCUAACUGCUGACGACGGACUCCGCUUCUUGCCUGAGAGGGAGGAAGCACGAACGUUCUGUAUGUAACGAAAUGAGGACGACUGUUUCAAAGCUACUCAAAUAUUGUUGUGUUAAAGAGUAUUUACACUGAUCUCAUUGUAUCAUUUAGCUUCAAAGCUCAAAAUUCUGCUUUACUUAGAUAAGAGCUUGAAGUCCAAAUCUACACAAGUCAGAACCUAUGCAAGAAAAGCACCAUCGGUAGAAAUGAAUACACUUUGAAUGCCAUGGACCACCCUGUCUUCAGAGCAUGUCUGUUUGCUGACAUAGUUGGCUCCCUCAUAGCCCUUUAAAAAAUUGUCACGUAAAAAUGUGGGCGUUGCUGAAGGUUUUUAUUAAAACAUUAGAAGUCUAUGUGACAUUAUUUAUUAUUGUUAUUUGAAUUCCUCUAAGAAAAUUAAGCUAUCUGUUAGGACUUAGGGCCAUGGUGGAGGCAAGGUUUCUGGAAAAGUAUUAACACGGUGAAAGUAUUAAUAAAGGGAAACAGAUCAACUCUGGGCCCCUCAGCUCACUACUGCUCAGAGGCUCAUUUCUGCCUUUGUUCCCCCUUUCUAUUACUCUAUUGUUUAACAGCUUACCCCCUCAUAGUCCAUCCGUUUGAUUAUAACACAAGGUUUUCAUGUUUCACCGUGUUAGUCAGUAUGGUCUCUAUCUCCUGACCUUGUGAUCCACCCGCCUUGGCCUCCCAAAGUGCUGGGAUUACAGGCGUGAGCCACUGCGCCUGGCCACUUCAUUUCUUAAAUAGUUUCCAAAUAUGAAAUGCUGGUAAAUGUUGAAUCUCAUAUAGCUACAUUUUAAAUAACUAAAACUGUGUAAAAUUGGCCAGAAAUGAUAUAAAACCUGAAUGACUAAUUAAAAUAAGUCCUCUUUAGUGGUUUACAUAAAAUACAGCUCAUCAUAAUAUUGUCAGGACAGAAUAGCAAAUGGAAAGAUAAUUUUUUUGGUUAUUCAAAUACUAAAUUUUCAAUACACAACAAUGUAGUAAGCAAGUGGAAGAGGAAAUGUAUUUAUCCCUUGGAUAUCUAUUGAUACAUUGUUAUUUGAAAUGCUAAUACACACCCAUGUGUGCACACAAAUUGCUCUUUUAGACAACUAUUUCUCAAACUCCUUUUUCCAAUAACAAUAGUCAAGGUGGACAGUAGAGAGAAUGGCAGCAGCACAUUUUGAGGAUAGACCUAGAAGCCUGUUGCCAGGGACCCUAUUGCAGGCUCUGCUAGUACUAGGUAUGUAUACCACUUGGCUGUGGGCCAACAUAUUGCACCUCUCAAAGUCUCUAUCUUUCUAUCUGUGAAAAGAGACUGUUGGAUUAGAUACCUCAGAGCCAAAGUCUAUAAUUUCAAAAGAGUUGUGAAAACAUACGCUGUAAUGUAGGAAGCAUCAUCAAUAGUUUGAGAAAUGCUGAGGACCACAAUACUAUUUAAUAACAUAUUGUGGCCAACAGGCAUACUUAUUUUUGUGUAACCUCCCCCAAAUGGUCUCAUAUUUAUCAGUUUUGUGUACUUGAAAAAAUAAUAACUGACACAAACAGAUUGACAGCACGAGAUAUAAAAAUCACCAAUACCUGGAGCUUCUUUUCAUUUAUUUACUUUUGUAUCUGUAACAAUGACGUCGGGUGUUUGGUUCUGGCUCAGAUGUGCCACAGGCCCCCAGAGUCUCUUUGAAGAUGUUGUCCUGCAAAACAAGACUAGAACUCUCCCAUUUUAUGGCUUAAUACUAGAAAUCAAGAGACCUUGGGUGAUUUUUUAAAAAACCAAAACCACCUGAGGCAUGAUUGGGAUACUCACAUUUAGAUGUACUUCUAAAAGGAGAACUUUGGAUUCAUAGAGCAUCAUGCCAAGGAAAACCUACCACUGGGGGUACAGAGCAAGCCAGAAGCAGCCGUAGGAGAGUCCCCCAAACCUUUGAAUAUUCUUUGGACUACUGGAGAAAGAUCUAAUUUUUCUGUUGAUUUCUCUUCAAUUGUGUGGGAUGUGUAAUCUGGAGAGAAAUAGGGUAUAUACCACUGAAAAUCACAAUUUAAAAUACAGCCUUGUUAAAAAUCAGGUUGGGCUUUGCCAUUUUUGCUGCAUUCAUUGCAAACAUUUUAAAUGCAGUAAUGGUACAUUAAUCAGGUAGGAACAAUUCUCUACUGUCAUAUUGUACUGUUGUAUUAGUUUGUUUUCACAUUGCUGAUAAAGACAUACGUGAGACUGGGCAAUUUACAACAGAAAGAGGUUUAUUGGACUUACAGUUCCGCAUGGUUAGGUAGGCUUCACAAUCAUGGCAGAAAGCAAGGAGCAUCAAGUCAGGUCUUACAUGGAUGGCAGCAGGCAAAAAAAGAGAGCUUGUGCAGGAAAACUCCCCCUUAUAAUAACCAUCAGAUCUCAUGAGACGUAUUCAUUAUCACGAGAACAGUAUGGGGAAACUGCCCUCAUGAUUCAAUUACCUCCCACUUGGUCCCUCCUACAACAUGUGGGAAUUAUGGGAGUACAAUUCAAGAUGAGAUUUGGGUGGGGACACAGAGCCAAACCAUAUUGACUGUCAACCCUUUCAAUGGAUUAUUCCUAAAGACCCUGCCCUGUCUGUUCCCUCCAUUCCAGCCCAUAUGCAGGCUUUCUGAAAUAUCGUUACCACUUUACAGAUCUUUGCCCAAUUUUGAACUCAGCAUUGAUCAAGUCUUUUUUUUUCCACCAGACUAUUCUUAUUUUCCAAGAACUCACCUCAUUUUCCUCUAGUAUUUACAUAUACUCUCACAUUUGCUAUAACUAAAAAUUCAGAUACUUGGGAAAUUUUAGUUUCUCAGUAUGCACCCACUUCUAAAUCACUGUGAUUCAGUUGGUCCUACCUCCAAUUCCUAUAGCUUUCACCAACUUGUAUCUUUUCCUUAAAUAACCUAUCUCUGUUUUUCCUUCAGUUGAAAAUUCUCAGCUGAUUUUUAUUAUUUAAGCCAUCUUAAAUUAAUAUAGUGAAG
rnacentral:lncRNA from 1 species